UACGGAGGGUGCAAGCGUUAUCCGGAUUCACUGGGUUUAAAGGGAGCGUAGGUGGGGUGGUAAGUCAGUGGUGAAAUCUCCGGGCUUAACUCGGAAACUGCCAUUGAUACUAUAGGUCUUGAAUUAUCUGGAGGUAAGCGGAAUAUGUCAUGUAGCGGUGAAAUGCUUAGAUAUGACAUAGAACACCAAUUGCGAAGGCAGCUUACUACGGAUAUAUUGACACUGAGGCACGAAAGCGUGGGGAUCAAACAGG
rnacentral:rRNA from 1 species